rnacentral:lncRNA from 1 species
CUUCCUUAUCGAACUCGACUGGGCUGAGAAAUAAAUUAAUAACAACAAACAAAUAAACAAAAACUAGCCGAUGUUUCAAUACAACAGUGAAGUAGUCGGUAAGACUUACAAGGUAACUCCCAAGGAUCCAAGCUAUAGAUAUCGACUGUGUUAAUGAAUUCAUUGACAUGAGUCGUGUUGCCAUCCAUAUUUUUUGCCCUGAGGUAAUAGCCAAUGAUCUCCUCGUCGGUCGGAUGGAAUCUGAAACCCACCGGAUGCGAAUUUACCAUAUUCUCCAUGAGAAAUCUAAAAUUUUCAGAUCAAAAACGAAAAAGAAGAACUAAGAAAAAAAAAUAUGCAGCAGAGCAGAGCGCUUCUUUCUAUGUUGUCGCUUGCUGUUCUGUUAAUUAAUCUUCUCUUGUUUGUUAUUAUGAACAAGACGAAAGGUGUGGGGUUAUAUAAAAAAACUUGUCCCGGUAUUUGCGGGGACACAAUUUCAAAUAUUAUUUUGUGUCACGGCAUGGAAACACAUAACCGUGACGUAUUGUGACGUUUAUCUUUCGUGGGACAUACGUGGAACGGUAGAUACUUAUCGUGUUCAUGACCUUUUCCUUUAAAUAAUAAAAUAAGAGGGUGUUGAUAUAAAAAAAACCUUGACCCGGUAUUUGGGGGAACUCUAAAUUUCAAAAAUUACUUAUUGUGACGUUUUAUCCUUCGUGGGACAUACGUGGAACGAUAGAGUUUGCCAUGUUCAUGAACUUUUCCUUUAAAUAAUAAAAUAAAAACCAGUGCUUGUGAUAUGGUGUUGAUUAAUUUGAAGAGAAAAACUCAAGAAGGUGAAACCACUAGAAUUCGAGUCCUAGCCACUAGAGAAUUAAUAUUUCGGUAUCGCUAGAAACAGAGAACCGACACGUGACAACACAUAACUAGUCUAUACCAUUUAUGUGAGGCCAAGAAUAUUCCUAUAUAAUUCAAAAAAUAAUAAUAAAUAAAUAAUAAAAUAAAAAGGGCAAAAGCGGAAUUUGCAAGUUGUCAUCGACGGUCAAUAACCAUGUUUAGGUCAUCUCUAAUCGAACUGUAAAAUACCAUUUUAGUGUAGUUUUUACACUAAAAUCAUCUCUAAUCUAACUGCAAAAAUCACAUAAUUUCAUAUCAAAUUAAAAAGUGUAACACUAUUUAUCACGCUACAACACUAUUUAUUCCAUUAAAAUAUUAUUCAUUUAUUUUAUUACUAAAAUAUACAAAUCCUCCAGUAUAUUAAUUGAGAAGUCACUUUAGUGAAUUAUGCUGACGUGUCACUCAUACAAGAAGUCUCGCAAUAAUCCUUAUAAUCUAUACUAUUAAAGCAGAAUCCUUCUUAGGAUUAUGCCCCUGAAUUUUCCAAUUAAUUACAAAAUUUUCCAUUAACUUUUUCAGUGACUUUUCCAAUAAUAAACCUAAUUUUGUCGGUCAAAACAAUAAACUAGAUUUGUAAGGGCAUUGGGCUUGAGCCUAUUUAGGUAAAAUAAGAUAUAUGUUUGCUUUGCUUUCUGGUUGAAUUGGUUUUUGCGAUCCAACUUAAUCAUUUUUGCAUGUGAUUUUAAAAUCAAGUAAUAGUGCGUCUCAUUUUAAUUCUUUUCAGAAAAUUAAAAUAUUUGAAAAUAUAAAAUAUCGACAUUAUAAUUUUUUCAUAAUAUAAACAUUACAGAUUAAAUUUUUAAUAAAAACUAUAACAUUUUUUUCUAAAUAUAAUAACUUUAUGUUAUUAAAAUUAUUUGCUAUUCUUUGCUAUAUUAUUUAUACCUUAAAUAAAUAGAUAUGUAAAUAAAAUAAUUUUCUAAAUAUUUCUCCUAUUUUAUUAUAUUGGUGAUUUACAAUAUGAAGAUUUUUUUUAUUUUACCUCAAUUAUUUGAAAUGAUUUAAAACAGAAAUGUAACCAGAACCGAAAAAUUCAAAAUUUUUAUAUAUCCUUACCACAUAAAAUAUCAAUAUAUUCAAUCACUUUAACCAAAACUCAACUUCAUAUAUAACCAAAAUUGUUUUUAUAUUUUUUUAAACCAAAAACCACAACCAAACUAAAAUCUAAUAAAGGCAAAUUAGAGUCGAACAAAAACCAAAAAUGUUUAUAGCGAAAUAAAUUAGUUAACAAACAGUUAUAUCAAUAAAUUUGUAAACAAAUAUAUUCCAGCGCUUUGAAAGCACAGAUCAAAAUCUAGGCUAAUCUAUUAAAACAGGAGUACAUUUUGUACUUAGCCCUGAGUUUUCUUCUAUAAUUACAAGGUUAUGUCACUGAGUUAAUAAAAUAAUUCAUUUAUUCGAUCAUUAAUGUCCCUUGCGUAAUUUAAUACCGGAGCAUAACCAGCCCAUUCGAUAGAAUUACGCAUUAGGUAUUUUGACUAUUUUUAAACCAAUAUAACUUGGUUUAAUCUUCCACGGUGGUCAGAAUUUCCUUUCUCUGCAAAAUAAGGUUUGUAUCUAUUAAUAAACCAAGAAGAUUAAACCAAGUGCAUAAAAUAUUAUUCAUGUUAAACUAUUAAUGGAAAAUUACUAUCACUCAUCCGUGCAUAUGUAAUCACACAAAAUCCAAACCAAACCGUAUGUUAUAUACAAACCAUUUCAAGGGAAAUGGUACAUCCAAUUGUAAAAUUAAUUUGUAUGCGUUUUUGUGAAUAAUAAUAGUAUAUACAUUUAAAUAUUAACCAAACCGAGCCAAAUGUUAUAUACAAACCAAACCAAACAUUUUAGUUUUUGAGAAUACGAAGUAUACAUAAUCGCUUAUAGGAUAACAAAAGCGAAUAUUCGAUGGAUUUAAGCAAUGCUAAUGCAAAUUGUAAAGUAUUGAUACGUAUUUAAAUAUCUAAUCUUAACUAACUAAAUAUGACAAACCUUAAAUAUCAGAAUCACUGAAUCAGUAUUAAUUAUUUCAAUAUAUGCAUAUUCUUUUUCUUUUUUUUUUGGAUCAAAUGCAUAUUCUUUUUCUAAAACGUGCAAAUCACACUAAUUUAAAAUAUUUUCUACUGAUUCCUUCCAUAUAUUCACAAUCACACCAACCAUAUAUAUACCAUGAACUCUAUUUAUAUUCAGAAAACAAAGAAGUCAAGUCAAAAGAAGUUUUACUUCUCAAGAAUGUCAAGCCAUUUAAAACCGGAUGCAUUCAAGUAAAAUUACAGCAUUAGUUGAAGAAACAAAACAUCUCCUACGGAAGAAAAUCUCUUGAAAUGGUUCUCGCCGAUGAAUCUGUAAGUUUUUUAUCAUGUAAUUUUUAUGUUUUCACGUUGAUCUAAUACUAUCACAAUACCGAUUUUGUAGCCAAUGGUUGCAUCUUCAUAGAGAAAAAAAUCAGAAUUCAAAUGCACAAUGGUGGAUUCUUUAGAGUAUGAGAAUCAGCAAAGAAACAUUAGUAUCUGGGAGAAUUUUGGCAAUAUUCAGACUAUUUAAUCCAUUACACAUCGUCAUGACAAAAGUAUUCUAAACAUGCAAAACCAAACUACUCUUUCAAGGGAAAUCUAUUUGAGACAUGGAUUAAAACUAAUAGAAUGAGAAAAUAUAGUUUAUAAAAAAAAGAGUGAGAAAAUAUAAGUUGGGUCAAACCUUGUGUUUUGAUUUAUUGUACGUUACAUAAACGGUCUCCAUGGCUGAAGUUCUUAAUUGGAGGUGAACUGUUCCUUAGGUUUUAGAUUUGGUGUUUUUCUCUGAUUCACACACGAAAUCUGCAAUAUUAAGUUUAUAUAUCCUCCAGACAAGAUAAAAGGCUUAUAUACGAUGAAAAGGAAGAUGAAUAAAAAACAAUUUAAAUGAAUCAAAGAAAUACUUUUAGAUUUCCUGUGAUUCUGUUUAUCCAACCUCUAAUGCCAUCUUAUUUAGUCGGGUUCUUUAUCCAACAUGAACAUCCGAUUGUUGAUUUUGAAGAAGCUUCUACAGAAAUCUCCAAGAAAGUAAAGUUACUGAUUUCUUUCGUUGUCCUUUAAUUUUUUUUCUUAAAGUGGUGUAACGAACGGUCAUAUUCCUAAAACAAAAGGCUUUCACCAAAAUGUUUUGAUAUCAUAUGAUCGAGGCCCAAAAUAUUUUAAUUGCUUAUCAAACUUUUGUCAUCUGGCUCGAUUAGAAGUUCUCAUUGACUACUAAUUCUUUAAACAACUCAUUUUAAAUAUAUUAUUCGGCCACUUCUAGGCAACAAAUAUGAUAAAUUUUAGACAAACCCAGUCUAAAAUAAGUACAAAUUUUCUUUUAGUAAAAAGUAUAGAUAAGCGCAGUAAAUUUUAGAAUAAAAUUACAACAUUUUAUUCAAAACAAUAUCUAUCUUCACUGAAAAUCAUUAUUAUUGCCAAUAUUUGCAACUUGAUUGUAUCUUCCCAAACCAAAUAAUAUUUACCACAUUUAUUCAAUUUAAAAUAAAUUAGAUAUAAAAACAAUAUAAAUGUAUUACACAUAAAAUCAUAUUUAUAUCAGUGUCAGUUAUUAACACUCAUUUUAAAUUAAAAAUAAUAAAAUGUAUAUUACUAAAAAAUUCCCAGUAAAAUUCUUUAUUUAAACAUACAAAUUUUUGGAAAUACACAUUAAUCUUAUAAAUAAAUAAAACCUUUGUAAUGUUGUUAACAUAAUUUCACACCAAAAAUAGAAGAGAAAUUCUCUAAGAUAGUCUUUUUUAAGUUUUUAUCACAAAAAUAGUCCUCAAUGAAGAAAAAUGACCAAAAUAAGUUUUAUUAAAGGAUAAAAUAUAUUUUUAACCUAGGGUUAACUAAUCUAAACUUAGGGUUUAGAGUUAAGGGGUGGGGUUUUAGGGAUAUGGUUUCAAAUAAAAAAAUAUAUAUAUUAAAAUUUUCAAAAUAAAAAGAAGCUAUUUUGGUCAUUUUCAUUCUUGAAGGUUAUUUUUGUAGCAAAAACUUAAAAAAAAUUAUUUGAAAGAAUUGCCAAAAAAUAACCAGCACUUUAUUUCAUAACUACAUUUUUAUUAUAUUUUUACAAAUUGGCUAAUACCUAAUUAUUUAUUACUAAUAACUAAACAUUUAAAAUACAUACGAGUUAAAUAAUGAAUCAUUAUCACUAUAAGUAACAUUGUUAUGAUUUUUUUAAACAUGUUAAUCAACAUAUAUUUUUUAUAUAUCUAACAAGAAUUGUUUUUACAUAAACGGUGAGAACCAUAAACUGUAGAAAACAAUAUAUAAAAUUACUGUAGAUUUAUGUAUAAAACUGUGUUGUUAAAAAUACAGAUUAAAUAAAUAUUUUUAUUUGUAAGUUUAAAGUAUAUACAUUAAAAGUGUAAAACAAAUUUUGAGUAAUAUAAAAAUAAAAAACAUCCGGGUGUCUCUGGUCAAAAUCUAGUUUCAUUGGUCGAAACUUUUUAUUUUCAUUUAUUUUUUAAACAUUACCGAGCGAUACAACUAAAAUACAUUGCCAAACAACUAAGAGCAUCAUUAUCCUACCAACUCAUAAUGAGUUGCUUAAUUAUAUUAUAAUAGUAUUUAAUGAGAUAAUUUGGGUAAGAGACUUAGCUAAGCAACUUGACAUUUUUUCUCCUCCAUUGCAAGUCUCUUAUUUUAGGAUGCUUAAUUAUUUUAAACUUUUUCUUAUGAAAAUUAAAAAAAAUUAUUACAUAAAACAUAAUAAAAGAUAACAUUUUGAACAUAGAUUUUUAAAUAAAAACAUGAAACCAAAGAUUAGUAAAAUAAACGAAGUACAUUCGAAAGAAGCAUCAAAGCUUAGUUGUUGUCUUCAUCACCCCCAAAUCUAUAUAAUACAUGUUCAACCAAAUCAUUUUUCAGUUGUUCAUGCAUUGUUCUAUCACGAAUUCUUGUUCGAACACCCAUCAUAUUGGUUUUUUUGGAAAAAAGGGGUUCCUCUGUUAUAUUUGUCGUCUUUACUUUUCUUUUUGUGUGCACAUAUUUGUUGUCUUUACGACCGAAGAAAUACCAAACAUAGUCCUUCCUUAUCGAACUCGACUGGGCUGAGAAAUAAAUUAAUAACAACAAACAAAUAAACAAAAACUAGCCGAUGUUUCAAUACAACAGUGAAGUAGUCGGUAAGACUUACAAGGUAACUCCCAAGGAUCCAAGCUAUAGAUAUCGACUGUGUUAAUGAAUUCAUUGACAUGAGUCGUGUUGCCAUCCAUAUUUUUUGCCCUGAGGUAAUAGCCAAUGAUCUCCUCGUCGGUCGGAUGGAAUCUGAAACCCACCGGAUGCGAAUUUACCAUAUUCUCCAUGAGAAAUCUAAAAUUUUCAGAUCAAAAACGAAAAAGAAGAACUAAGA